GACGAACGCUGGCGGCGUGCCUAAUACAUGCAAGUUGAGCGAUGAAGAUUGGUGCUUGCACCAAUUUGAAGAGCAGCGAACGGGUGAGUAACGCGUGGGGAAUCUGCCUUUGAGCGGGGGACAACAUUUGGAAACGAAUGCUAAUACCGCAUAACAACUUUAAACAUAAGUUUUAAGUUUGAAAGAUGCAAUUGCAUCACUCAAAGAUGAUCCCGCGUUGUAUUAGCUAGUUGGUGAGGUAAAGGCUCACCAAGGCGAUGAUACAUAGCCGACCUGAGAGGGUGAUCGGCCACAUUGGGACUGAGACACGGCCCAAACUCCUACGGGAGGCAGCAGUAGGGAAUCUUCGGCAAUGGACGCAAGUCUGACCGAGCAACGCCGCGUGAGUGAAGAAGGUUUUCGGAUCGUAAAACUCUGUUGGUAGAGAAGAACGUUGGUGAGAGUGGAAAGCUCAUCAAGUGACGGUAACUACCCAGAAAGGGACGGCUCACUACGUG
rnacentral:rRNA from 1 species